rnacentral:rRNA from 1 species
UUCCAGACUCCUACGGGAGGCAGCAGUGGGGAAUAUUGCACAAUGGGCGCAAGCCUGAUGCAGCCAUGCCGCGUGUAUGAAGAAGGCCUUCGGGUUGUAAAGUACUUUCAGCGGGGAGGAAGGCGAUAAGGUUAAUAACCUUGUUGAUUGACGUUACCCGCAGAAGAAGCACCGGCUAACUACGUGCCAGCAGCCGCGGUAAUACGUAGGGUGCGAGCGUUAAUCGGAAUUACUGGGCGUAAAGGGUGUGCAGGCGGCUGAGUAAGACAGAUGUGAAAUCCCCGGGCUCAACCUGGGAACUGCAUUCGAAACUGGCAGGCUGGAGUCUUGUAGAGGGGGGUAGAAUUCCAGGUGUAGCGGUGAAAUGCGUAGAGAUCUGGAGGAAUACCGGUGGCGAAGGCGGCCCCCUGGACAAAGACUGACGCUCAGGUGCGAAAGCGUGGGGAGCAAACAGGAUUAGAUACCCCCGUAC